UACGUAGGGUGCGAGCGUUAAUCGGAAUUACUGGGCGUAAAGCGUGCGCAGGCGGUGAUGUAAGACAGGUGUGAAAUCCCCGGGCUUAACCUGGGAACUGCAUUUGUGACUGCAUCGCUGGAGUGCGGCAGAGGGGAUGGAAUUCCGCGUGUAGCAGUGAAAUGCGUAGAUAUGCGGAGGAACACCGAUGGCGAAGGCAAUCCCCUGGGCCUGCACUGACGCUCAUGCACGAAAGCGUGGGGAGCGAACAGG
rnacentral:rRNA from 1 species